UACGUAGGGGGCAAGCGUUGUCCGGAAUCAUUGGGCGUAAAGAGCGUGUAGGCGGCCCGAUAAGUCCGCUGUGAAAGUCCAGGGCUCAACCCUGGGAUGCCGGUGGAUACUGUCGGGCUCGAGUCCGGAAGAGGAGUGUGGAAUUCCUGGUGUAGCGGUGAAAUGCGCAGAUAUCAGGAGGAACACCAAUGGCGAAGGCAGCACUCUGGGACGUGACUGACGCUGAGACGCGAAAAGCGUGGGGGAGCAAACAGG
rnacentral:rRNA from 1 species